GAUGAAGAACGUAGCGAAAUGCGAUAAGUAAUGUGAAUUGAAGAAUUCAGUGAAUCAUCGAAUCUUUGAACGCACAUUGCGCCCCCUGGUAUUCCGGGGGGCAUGCCUGUCCGAGCGUCAUUACAACCCUCAAGCUCAGCUUGGUGUUGGGCCCCGCCGCCCCGGCGGGCCCUAAAGUCAGUGGCGGUGCCGUCCGGCUCCGAGCGUAGUAAUUCUUCUCGCUCUGGAGGUCCGGUCGUGUGCUCGCCAGCAACCCCCAAUUUUUUUCAGGUUGACCUCGGAUCAGGUAGGGAUACCCGCUGAACUUAAGCAUAUCAAUAAGCGGAGGA
rnacentral:misc_RNA from 1 species